GAAGAUGAACGGGUUUGGAACAACAUGAAGCCUGUCUACCUGCAUUCAUUUUAAAGCAAUAACUCAUGGAUGAGCAACACCACUCAUUGGCAACCACUCACACUGAUGGCUCCACUUAUGUGGUGACCAAAACAGCAGCACCUCCCCACAGUCAGAUCACGAAUCGCCGUGACUUCAUCUGCACAUUAUGCAAUUCAAUCAUGGCGUUGUGUUGAAUAUCAGGAGCGAGAUAACAACAGCGAAGGUAACCGGGUCAGAGAAGUCAAACACACAGGUCGAAACAAGACCAAAGGGACCGUCGGUCAGAACAUCUCCGCCAACUGGCUACCUACACGGACUCUCUGAGGCUUGCAGGAACACGGAUCUGCAGCGAUCGUUAGAGCGGGGAAAAAAAAAAUAUUUGAAUAUUCUCAGGCGCUCCUAAACCAGCUUAAAUUGGAUCAUUUUAUUGUGCCGCUCCACCCUGCCAAAAUGCCAAGAGAGUGUGGGUCUUGGCGAAGGCCGGCACUCCUGAAUCUUCCCCGCGGCCUGCGCGCCCCCCCACCCCUCUGCACUAUCUGCUGACACAGAGUCUUGCCCCAGGCCGAAGCUCCCCGCAUGGCCAGCCUCCUGCUGGGAAAAGAUGCACUGAGCUGGAGAGAGCUGGAGGCGUCCCAGCACACAACUGGCCAGCAAGCCACUCAAUGCAUGACACCUCACAUAUGUGUGCGCCUCCCUUUUAUACAGUAUG